GCUCCUGCCGACGUGUUCUUCCGGUGGCGGAGCGGCGGAUUAGCCUUCGCGGGGCAAAAUGGAGCUCGAGGCCAUGAGCAGAUAUACCAGCCCAGUGAACCCAGCUGUCUUCCCCCAUCUGACCGUGGUGCUUUUGGCCAUUGGCAUGUUCUUCACCGCCUGGUUCUUCGUGUAUCCUUUCACUGAGCAGCCAGAGGACCAGCAUUAGUGAUGUGGGAAGCUCAGGGAGAAACCACGCUAGGUACAUGGACCCCGCCGGUUUUGUACAUUGGAUUGGGGCUGAGAGAAGGUAACAACCAGAUGGCUUCACUGAAACCUGCUUUUGUAAAUUACUUUUUUUUACUGUUGCUGGAAGUGUCCCACCUGCUGCUCAUAAUAAAUGCAGAUGUAUAGCA
rnacentral:lncRNA from 1 species